UUAUCGUAUGGCAUUCGUUUACACUGCGUGGUUAUAAUUGAAAUUUACAGUUUGUGAUUAGGGUUUUAUAAUUGACGCAGUGCAGUUGGAACCGGGACAUCCUCAGGAGGACAGUUCGGUUGCCAGGUUGUUGCACUAUUAGCAACACCCAGGGGACACGUGUAGGGUAGCGGUAGGUAAUCUCCUACGGACGUUAUACCCCAUAUUGUAGGUAUAUCAAAUUAUGGAAAGAAGAAAUUUCAUAUUUUUAUUUCUUAGAUUAAUGAACGUGCAUGACCUGCCUGGUGUGCAGGGGCUACCGAAGUCCGCAGAUUAACAACUCGCAACCGCCAUUCGAGCAGCCGAGGACCGGACGAGAUGGAAACAGCUCACGAGACAGGCAAGGGUCAAGUUUCAGGGACACGACCUUCAGUAAUGAAGAAAGCGACGAAGAAGAAGAAGUCCAAGUUCGGAGAUGUUUAAAGUUAAUCUAAACUUCUAAACAUCUAAACUUCGCGUUUUAGUAUUUUGAAUUUUAACAUGUCGCCUCUUUGCUUCAACGGUGUGUUAUCUUGAAAAUUGCAAUUUUAGAGGAGAGCGAUGUUUAACUUUCAAAAAAUUAUUGUGUCAAAACUAAAAAAAAAUUUACGGUCGUUCUACGAAUUAUUGUAAAUUAUAACUAAUAAACUACGUGGAAAUUUUAACAAAAUACAGUUAGUUUAGAAGUUUAAUAAGAAAUUUUCCAUAUUUAAAAUAAAAGAGGAAAAUAUGUCACAUUGUUCUAGCAAAUAUAUAGAAAGAUAAGUGUUACAAACCAAAGUUUCACGAUUUUGAUGAUAUAGCUUUGACUUUGAUACUGAGUUAUAUAAUGAACAAUCACUGUUUAAAAAAAAAAUUGUUGAAUUUCAGAAUCAAUCUUUAUUGGCAAUAGUGUUUCCAAACCUACAAUUUGUUUCACAAAAUAAAGAGAAAGACAUCAAAAAUAA